rnacentral:tRNA from 1 species
GCCUGGGUGGCUCAGUCGGUUGAGCGUCCGACUUCGGCUCAGGUCAUGAUCUCGCGGUCUGUGGGUUCGAGCCCCGCAUCGGGCU